rnacentral:rRNA from 1 species
ACGUACACUCCUGCGGGAGGCAGCAGUGGGGAAUUUUGGACAAUGGGCGAAAGCCUGAUCCAGCCAUGCCGCGUGCAGGAUGAAGGCCUUCGGGUUGUAAACUGCUUUUGUACGGAACGAAACGGCCUUUUCUAAUAAAGAGGGCUAAUGACGGUACCGUAAGAAUAAGCACCGGCUAACUACGUGCCAGCAGCCGCGGUAAUACGUAGGGUGCAAGCGUUAAUCGGAAUUACUGGGCGUAAAGCGUGCGCAGGCGGUUAUGUAAGACAGUUGUGAAAUCCCCGGGCUCAACCUGGGAACUGCAUCUAUGACUGAAUAGCUAGAGUACGGUAGAGGGGGAUGGAAUUCCGCGUGUAGCAGUGAAAUGCGUAGAUAUGCGGAGGAACACCGAUGGCGAAGGCAAUCCCCUGGACCUGUACUGACGCUCAUGCACGAAAGCGUGGGGAGCAAACAGGAUUAGAAACCCCGGUAGUCCCAUG